UACGUAGGGGGCAAGCGUUAUCCGGAUUUACUGGGUGUAAAGGGAGCGUAGACGGCACUGCAAGUCUGGAGUGAAAGCCCGAGGCCCAACCACGGGACUGCUCUGGAAACUGCGGGGCUGGAGUGCAGGAGGGGUAAGCGGAAUUCCUAGUGUAGCGGUGAAAUGCGUAGAUAUUGGGAGGAACACCGGUGGCGAAGGCGGCUUACUGGACUGUAACUGACGUUGAGGCUCGAAGGCGUGGGGAGCAAACAGG
rnacentral:rRNA from 1 species